AGCUUUUAGCUCGAAUCUUGCUCCACCUAUAUUAAGUACAACUUUGGUUUCGAGGCCCGAAUAAAUGAAUAAGCAAAUAAAUAAAUAAGUAAAGACGACUAUAAGUAAAUAAAUAAAAUAACAAUUGAGAUUUUGAAUCUUGUAGCUGCUUCAAAUGUGGGACUCUAACCCAUUCUUCUCCUUUUGAUUCCUUGAGUUAGUAUUGUGCCAUAAGAUCGAUGUAAUCGAUUUUAGGUCCUCUAAAGGAUGGGCCUCCAUGGCCCAUUGCGUAAUGCAAGGAAAAAGAGCCCAAUUGGACUCCCAAAGUAGUUCAUUCAAAAAGAAAAGAAAAAGAAUCAGUAUCUAUCCAAAGGUGUCACGUGACAUAAUGCGGAAGCAAAUGGCCCAAAGUUUCUAGAAUUAAAGCAAACAUUCCAACUACAGAAAAUCUAGCAACAAGUGAGAGCAAUAUCAGUGGAGAAGAGAGCUAUUGGUGAAGACAAGACUAUAAUGACAAAGAUAUACCAAAAAUGAUAGAAUUAGAUUCGGAAAAAAUUUCACUUUAUCAAACUUAUUAGCUUGUAACUGUGGUUCAACUAAAUUUUGACCUCUUUUUAAUUGAGAAGGGGAAGAUAGGGAGAAGGAAACCAAGCAGAUUAUUCGAUCAUAUAAUGAAUUAAAGGGUCUAAUAUAAUCCAUUAAUGAUCUUGAAUCACCACAAAGCAACACCAAACUAGAACAUGGGAUUUGAUUUUCCACUGAGACUUGAAACGUUAGGAUAUGGGUGAAAAUAAUUUUUUUUUUAAUCGGUAAAUUUAAGAAAAUUUCAGUCCAAAUUUUGAAUAGGAGAAAAAGUGUGUUGAGGCCGAAGAAACCUUUAACCGUGAUAAGAAAAUUCUGUUCACUUGACGUAAUGUUAAAGAAAGGAACACAAGGUUAAAGGAAGGAAACUUUCAGCUACAGGGGUGUCACUAUGGAUUUUUUUUCCAGCAACUAAGCAACACAAACAUAACUUAUUCGUAGAAGAACAGUACAACUAGCAUUGUGACACUAGGAUACAAAGCAAUUAGUCAAAUAAUAGUAAAUUGGACCCUAAUAUUGAAAUAUGAAAUAAUAUUUUGAUGACCUAUUCAAAAUCCAUACUGCAGUAAGUUUGAAGACUAACUAAACACCCAUUAUGAGACGAAAGCACUGAUUUAAUAGUUAAGCAAAUGAAACGAUAAGUCGGAAGAAAAUUAUCCGUAUAAUUUUCACCAAGGCAAAGUUAAUACCAAAACGAUGAUUGAGAUCCACCGAUAGAAAGUGUCGACAUAAAUAGCGACCUAAACAACAUAUUCAGGAAGAUGCUUAAGACAUUAACGACUAAAAAAUAACAUCACCACGAGACAAUAAGCUUACACCCAUCGAACUGACACAUAGGAGAUUGACGAUUAAUCGGAAGGUUAUAAUACAAAUAGCGAUGCAACAAACAAACGCAGCGAUAAUCAUUACAAGUAAAUCUUAUAGCCAUCGAAGCCAUCUGCAACAGGCGUCUCUAGGCAUUCUAUGACUGAUAACGGUGCUAACGAACAAUGAAAAAGAAUAUCGAAAUUAAUAGGAUGAGGAGUUUAC
rnacentral:lncRNA from 1 species